rnacentral:ncRNA from 1 species
GGGUGUCUGCGCAAAUCGGCGCAACAGGUACAGCGAUGGUCGGGCCGCCACG